rnacentral:rRNA from 1 species
AACGAACGCUGGCGGCAUGCCUAACACAUGCAAGUCGAACGAGACCUUCGGGUCUAGUGGCGCACGGGUGCGUAACGCGUGGGAACCUGCCCUUAGGUUCGGAAUAACUCCCCGAAAGGGGUGCUAAUACCGGAUAAUGUCUUCGGACCAAAGAUUUAUCGCCUUUGGAUGGGCCCGCGUUGGAUUAGCUAGUUGGUAGGGUAAAAGCCUACCAAGGCGACGAUCCAUAGCUGGUCGGAGAGGAUGAUCAGCCACACUGGGACUGAGACACGGCCCAGACUGCUACGGGAAGCAGCAGUGGGGAAUAUUGGACGAUGGGCGAAAGCCUGAUCCAGCAAUGCCGCGUGAGUGAUGAAGGCCUUAGGGUUGUAAAGCUCUUUUACCCGGGAUGAUAAUGACAGUACCGGGAGAAUAAGCACCGGCUAACUCCGUG